rnacentral:rRNA from 1 species
UACGUAGGGAGCGAGCGUUGUCCGGAUUCAUUGGGCGUAAAGAGCUCGUAGGCGGUUCAGUAAGUCGGGUGUGAAAUCUCCGUGCUCAACACGGAGCGGCCACCUGAUACUGCUGUGACUCGAGUCCGGUAGGGGAGUGUGGAAUUCCCGGUGUAGCGGUGAAAUGCGCAGAUAUCGGGAGGAACACCAGUAGCGAAGGCGGCACUCUGGGCCGUGACUGACGCUGGAGGAGCGAAAGCGUGGGUAGCAAACAGG